AUUGAACGCUGGCGGCAUGCCUUACACAUGCAAGUCGAACGGCAGCACGGGUGCUUGCACCUGGUGGCGAGUGGCGAACGGGUGAGUAAUACAUCGGAACGUACCUUAUCGUGGGGGAUAACGCAGCGAAAGCUGUGCUAAUACCGCAUACGCCCUGAUGGGGAAAACGGGGGAUCGCAAGACCUCGCGCGAUUAGAGCGGCCGAUGCCUGAUUAGCUUGUUGGUGGGGUAAAAGCCCACCAAGGCGACGAUCAGUAGCUGGUCUGAGAGGACGAUCAGCCACACUGGGACUGAGACACGGCCCAGACUCCUACGGGAGGCAGCAGUGGGGAAUUUUGGACAAUGGGGGCAACCCUGAUCCAGCAAUGCCGCGUGAGUGAAGAAGGCCUUCGGGUUGUAAAGCUCUUUUGUCAGGGAAGAAACACCGGCUCUAACACAGUCCGGGAAUGACGGUACCUGAAGAAUAAGCACCGGCCAACUACGUGCCAGCCGCCGCAGUAA
rnacentral:rRNA from 1 species